ACUUAUCAAUAUUAAAGGAACUUGUUUAUUAAUCGAUAAUACUCGUUACCUUUCACUUUUUCUAUUAAACCUAUAUACCGCCGUCAAAGUUAUUUUUAUAAAAAUAACUUCUACUAAACAAUUAAUGUCAGGUCAAGGUAUAGUCUAUGAAAAAGCUCAAAUAAGUUACUAUAAAACUAAUUUAUAGAACUAAAUUAAACUUAAAUAAAAACGGAUUUAAUAUCAAUAUUUUAAUACUAAUUUAAUAUGAAAAUAUUAAUAGU
rnacentral:rRNA from 1 species